GACGAACGCUGGCGGCGUGCUUAACACAUGCAAGUCGAACGGUGAAGCGCUUUCCUUUUUGGUUGGUGUGGAUGAGUGGCGAACGGGUGAGUAACACGUGAGUAACCUGCCCCCUUCUUCUGGAUAACCGCAUGAAAGUGUGGCUAAUACGGGAUAUUCUGCGCCUGCUGCAUGGUGGGUGUGGGAAAGAUUGUGCCUUUGGGUGUUUUCGGCGGGGGACGGGCUCGCGCCCUAUCAGCUUGUUGGUGGGGUGAUGGCCUACCAAGGCGGUGACGGGUAGCCGGCCUGAGAGGGUGGACGGUCACACUGGGACUGAGACACGGCCCAGACUCCUACGGGAGGCAGCAGUGGGGAAUAUUGCACAAUGGGCGCAAGCCUGAUGCAGCGACGCCGCGUGAGGGAUGGAGGCCUUCGGGUUGUGAACCUCUUUCGCCAGUGAAGCAGGCCUGCUCCGUGUGGGUGGGUUGACGGUAGCUGGAUAAGAAGCGCCGGCUAACUACGUG
rnacentral:rRNA from 1 species